rnacentral:rRNA from 1 species
GCUUGUCUCAAAGAUUAAGCCAUGCACGUCUAAGUAUAAGCGAUUAUACUGUGAAACUGCGAAUGGCUCAUUAUAUCAGUUAUAGUUUAUUUGAUGGUCCUUGCUACUUGGAUAACCGUAGUAAUUCUAGAGCUAAUACAUGCGUAAAGUCCCGACUCUCGCGGGGAGGGAUGUAUUUAUUAGAUAAAAAACCAAUGCGGCCUCUGGUCGGUAUUGUGGUGAAUCAUAGUAACUUUUCGAAUCGCAUGGCUUCACGCCGGCGAUAGUUCAUUCAAAUUUCUGCCCUAUCAGCUUUCGACGGUAGUGUAGUGGACUACCGUGGCGUUAACGGGUAACGGAGAAUUAGGGUUCGAUUCCGGAGAGGGAGCCUUAAAAACGGCUACCACAUCCAAGGAAGGCAGCAGG